AUUUUAAAAUAUAAAGCGCAUCAGGAAUCAGCACUAAUAUUUUCUCAGAUAAAUCUCUGCACUGAUUACCAUGAAGUACAUUGAUGUCACUAUCACUAUGACAACAUUAUGACAAGAACUAGUCACUCUCAGCUACCUAGUAAAAGGAAUUGUCAUCUGUAUUUGCGAAUAAAAUGUAACACACAUUAGAAUUUCUAUUUUCCUGCAUAAAUUAUUACCUUAAUGGCUAGGGAGUGCCGAAUCACAAUUGGACGAAGAACCCAUUCCCGUUUAUGUUUCCCUAAAGAGCAAAGUCUCAUGCUUCAUAUACAACCAAAACGUCAUCUUAACAUCUGCUGUGCUACACACAUGGGUAUUACUGUCUCCCAGAAGAUAUAUAUCUCAUACUGGCUUUGUCAAUGGAACUUCUGAUCAUUCUUUCUAAAGAAUUACAUUCUAAAGGCCUGAAGUCAAAUGAAGAGAUGCCCACCUUCAGAUAUGCCUUCUGCUUAU
ensembl:lncRNA